UACGGGGGGGGCAAGCGUUGUUCGGAAUUACUGGGCGUAAAGGGCUCGUAGGCGGCCAACUAAGUCGGAUGUGAAAUCCCCAGGCUCAACUAGGGAACUGCCUGUCAGACUGCUGGGCUUGAGACCGGGAGAGGUGAGUGGAAUUCCCAGUGUAGCGGUGAAAUGCGUAGAUAUUGGGAGGAACACCAGUGGCGAAGGCGGCUCACUGGACCGGAACUGACGCUGAGGCGCGAAAGCGUGGGGAGCAAACAGG
rnacentral:rRNA from 1 species